ensembl:lncRNA
CUUUUCCACACGCAUGUGCGCGGCAGGCUCUCCUGUGUCAUCUGGCUGCAGUUUACAAACAGUCUGUCUCCCGUUACUGGACACCGCAGCUAUUCUGGCUUCCUCUUCCGAUGCAGAGUGUCCAGUCUCCAUGUUGAAGUCAGCAAGCCAAGGUAAGACUACAUCAUCCACUAUUUAACACCAUUGAUGCGGAGAUCCUGAGUGGAUUAAGGGGGAAUCAAUGGAGUGUGUACAGAGGGACUGAAAUCACCAAACAUCUGUAAGCAAAUGCAAUAAUCUGACCUUUUAUCAUGAGCCUGAGCUUUAAAGGUGCGCCAUCUUAAAGGUGUUUUUGCCCCAUUAGUACAUAGAGUUACAUGUUAUAUGUUGCUAGAAUCCAACUAAAAUGUGUCGCCUUUCUAAUUUGUGUCGCUUGUCAUGUCAGUAGAAAUUCUCCUGAUUAAUACUUUUAUUCAAAACAGUCAGAUGCAAACAAAGAGAUGGAGGACCUACGAGACAAAACUGAACAAGGACGAUGCCUCGUUAAUGUAGGCAGUUGAGAGAGAAUGUAGGAAUAAACUAGAAUGUUACACAAACGCAGGCUGAAGGGGAGAGUUUCAAAUGUGCAACAAGAGCGAAAUAACUGUGGUAAUAGCAGUAAAACUAUUCGAUUCCCAGGAAGUAAAAUCUGAGAAGCUCUAUUGGCGACAGAUCAGGCCAGGUCAGGUAUGAAACAGUCAUCUCGUGUUCUGCUGCACCGUAAAGGUGUGUGAUUAACUCUGUGAGUCAGAUUCAGGUGUUUUGCAAUUUGACAGAGGCCAACCCCUUCCCCAGUUUCUUUCAGGUUUAUAGUUGUGAGGCAGCCUUCAUCUUCACACGCGAGCCUGCUGUCAGUCAGGAGGAGCCGCAGCUCGCAGGUUAUCAUUCAUCGCACUGGAGACAUUCGGGGGGUCUGCAGCCGGGACGUCUGUGUUUACACACCGACAGAUUUAGACCAGACGCAGAUACGACUGAUGUGUCUCUGGUGGGAAGGGUUUGCACUUACUGUGUGGAUAACAACCACUCAUUUAGAUCAUGUUAAAGGGCAGAAAGAGAGAUAAAAGAGUAAAUUAAAGACUUGACCUAUAAAUGUUCCUUUUGUGUGAUUGGGUCCGGAGCCCGGUCCUCUCACAGCGCUAACCUCUCAUCACAAGCUCUAUUACCAGUGUAUGAUCAGGGUGAUGACUGGUAGUGUCACUUGCCCUGAGUAAUGCAAUGUGGAUUUUCCUGUAAGGUCACCGGAAUGACGCAAAAGCUGAGUCUGAAGCACAAAAACUGAGGCCAUCUAUCAAUAUAAAGGCCAUUAUAAUUGUUGCGUGAGCAGGACCUUUAAAAGCUUUUACCUCAUAUGAAUAUCAGCUGCCUUUACUGGGCUGAUGUGUUUGCUUAAUUUCACUGGCCAACCUGAAUUAUCUCAAUAUAAAGCGUGCUCUGUCGCAGACUGCUGCAUAUCAAGUCAGUUUUAAAAUCUUCUGACAUAUAAAGGACCCAUUAAAUAUCAGAUGAUUUCUUAUUAUUCAAUAUGCAGUUAAAUUUCUCAUUUUAUCUUGUUUUAUCAGCUGGUGUAAAAAAUGGAAGAAGUUGCAACAGAACUCUGCUGUCAUCAUCAUCUGCACGUGUCGCCCUGUUGAACAACUAUUAUCACUGGUCUGUAGUCACUCACCUGCCGUAGCUUGCAGAGGGGAUUUUUUGAGAAAAUUUAAAGGGAUUUUAAUAAUAUAGUUCUCCUUACCUUUCUUCCAACAGGAAAGUUGAGCCUAAUUUAGCUUUGCUCAAAUAAUGACAAUGAAUAGAUGAGGCUGGCUCAUUUUAAAGUAAAAGCAAAACUUCACUGACUUACCUACUGGGUAAAUCAUAUUCAAUUUGUUUUUACACAUUAAGUUCAUCCUCCCUUGCACUGUCUAUCAUAUCUGCCUUCUUCCUGUGAAAGCGCACAGUUGCCCGUUGGCUAACGGCACUAGAAAUAAUUUGAAUAGUGACACACUGUUAAGCAGCUCUAAUGAGCAGCUGGAGGUGCUGGGGCUCCAUCAGCAUAUGCCGAUGGAGUGAUAAGAGUGAUGUGGAGGCUGUUCUAGUUAAAGGAUGGUGUUGUGCUUCUGCCAGUGUGCAGAGAGAAGUAAAUCGUGAAGUUAUGCGAAAAUAUAACAGUAGCAUUUAAAAUAUUGCAAGUGAAACAUAUUAAAUAGCCUUAAUUAGACAGCAUUGAUGGCCCAUUUCAGCUCCAUAAUGUUUCAGGGAGAGCUCAUUGUCUCGCACUCCCCCAGUUCAUUUUAUAAUUUUUAUCAGCAGGAUUUCCAGCUCCAGCUGUGUGACUGUGACGGGAUUCCAGAAUUUUAUUGGCCUUAUUGAACACUAGUGCUCUCAUUUAUGACACCAUAAGCUUUGCUGCUGUAACACUUCUGUGUACGCUUCAUAACGGCACGGAGGU